UACGUAGGGUGCGAGCGUUGUCCGGAAUUAUUGGGCGUAAAGAGCUCGUAGGCGGUCUGUCGCGUCUGCUGUGAAAACUCAGGGCUUAACCCUGAGCUUGCAGUGGGUACGGGCAGACUAGAGUGCGGUAGGGGAGACUGGAAUUCCUGGUGUAGCGGUGAAAUGCGCAGAUAUCAGGAGGAACACCGGUGGCGGAAGGCGGGUCUCUGGGCCGUAACUGACGCUGGAGGAGCGGAAAGCAUGGGGAGCGAACAGG
rnacentral:rRNA from 1 species